UAUGAAGCCGGACNGGGGANAGGGCCUCGCUGCCNUGCCCGUCUGGCGCCAUAUUCACCCAUGUCUUUUUGCGUACUACUUGUUUCCUUGGCGGGUCCGCCCGCCAAUUGGACCUUNNUNAAACCUUUUUUUCAGUUGCAAUNAGCGUCAGCAAAACNAAUGUAAUNAAUUACAACUUUCAACAACGGAUCUCUUGGUUCUGGCAUCGAUGAAGAACGCAGCGAAAUGCGAUAAGUAGUGUGAAUUGCAGAAUUCAGUGAAUCAUCGAAUCUUUGAACGCACAUUGCGCCCUUUGGUAUUCCAAAGGGCAUGCCUGUUCGAGCGUCAUUUGUACCCUCAAGCUUUGCUUGGUGUUGGGCGUCUUGUNUCUCUNNCGAGACUCGCCUUAAAAUCAUUGGCAGCCGGCCUACUGGUUUCGGAGCGCAGCACAUUNUUUUGCGCUCUUGUCCAGCCGCGGUCGCGCGUCCAUGAAGCAUUUUUNUUUCAACCUUUUGACCUCGGAUCAGGUAGGAUAC
rnacentral:rRNA from 1 species